rnacentral:lncRNA from 1 species
UGUUGUUUGGACCAAAACUGGUUACGGGUGGUACUGGGGCCUCGGUGCACUUGCUGAAAAUUCUUCAAAAACGAUGCACUUCGAUCAGGAAGUUGCCCCUGAGUUUCAAAAUGAAGUGGACAAUUAAUAUAAAAUUUACAUAAAUUUUCAAAUGAAUAGUAGAACCUCAGAGGUAUAGAGUAAGAGUAUCAUUCUCACCUUUAGGCGCAUGGUUGGAGCGCCACUUUCAAGACCCUUCCCAAUUAUGCGGCGGCCAAUUUUGAACAUUGUGACCUGAAUUCGAAUGAGAAAGUGAGAGAAUUCAUUCCCAAAAAAAAUAACAUGUUUGUCUGCAUUUAGAGUAUGGAAAUUUCACAACUCACAAAACAUAGAAUUGAGCAUAUACAAUCAUCAUUCAUAAGAAGCAAUUUUCCACCAUAUGGCAAAGAUUUCACAAACAAUGUUCCUACUGCAAGAUUGUGCAAUGGAAAAUUAUCCACUGAUUUGAUUGGUAUAACAUAUAUAUACAGAAAUUAUCACAAAUGAGCAUAUGUUGGUGUGAAAAAAGAGCUUCUUCCAGCUUAUUUGGACCCAUAAAUUAUCACAAGUGUUCAACAGCUUAUGACAGAGUUAGUUUUACUAGUAACACAGCCAUAACCUUACAAAGUUCAACUAGGAAUCAAGAAAGAAACAUGUGAAUUGAACAUAUAUAAUCAUUCAGGAUGGUAAAGAAAGAUGCAUUCAGUCCAAGAAAAAAAAAUUAUGAGGAUAAGCUGCUUCCAAAAGCCUAAACCCUAUACCCUAAAUUAAAUUAACAUCCAAAUUCUUUGAAUUCAAAACCCUAUACCUUUGUUCAAAACACAAACCGAAAAUAAUCAGGGAGAAAUAGAGAGUAGUGGAAAUUUUGAAUAACAGAAAAAUAGGGUUUAAUCAGAGAGGAAUAGAGAAACCUUACUUGUAUCAGAGAGGAGUGGAAGGGAUUGACCGAACUGAUUAUGUUUGGAAAGGAAGGGAUUGAAUGAAUUGAAUUCGUCUGCAAAAUCACCCUUUUCGCAAUCCCCAAAUCUUCAAACUGAUUCUGCUGGUUUGGGUUUGAUGCGGCGGAGGAUGAAGAGUUUUGGGUAAUAUAUGUUUGGGCCAAAUGGGCCUUCUACUCUACUCUAUUAACCAAACUCACUCUUACAAAUAAUUCCUAUCAACAUAAUUAGAGUCUCACAUAAUUAUUACUAGCGUCUGUGCCCGUCUGUCCGCUCUUUUGAUAUUGAAAUGUUAGAUUCAAGUAUAUAGGAUGGUUGGUAAAUAGUUAAUUUAAAAAAAUUGAGAAAAAGAAAGCAUGAAUAAAUACUGUACAAAUAUCGUUGAAGAAGAUACGAAGAAUGUAUAUUUUUAAAAAUAAAAGGUUGGUUUUGGAANNNNNNNNNNNNNNNNNNNNUUUUUUAAAAAAGGCUCCACUUAAUGGUGUUUUGCCUUUAUUUAUUAGUUUAUUAGUAUAGAUAAAAGAAUGAAUAUAAAAGGUUAGUUUUGGAAGUUAAAAAGUGUGGAGAAAAAAAAAACACCAAGGGCAUUAUGGGAUUUUUUAAAAAGACUACACCAAAAUGGUGUUUUGCCUUUAUUUAUUAGUAUAGAAGAUUAACCAAACACACCUUAGAAUAAAAUGGCCACAAUUAUUUUCUUGUAACAAACAUAGGUAUUUUUAUUCCUACCCUAGAUUCCCGAGAAUAAAUUUUUGGUCUCCGAAACAAACACCUCUGAGGGCCUAAACAUAAUAAUUUAUGCUAAUAAAUAAAGGGAAAAUUUAAUAGUUGAAAAUUUAACUUUUUUAAAAUAAACUAAUUUUUUUAUUAAACUUAGUAGAACAGAAAAAGCACCAAACAAACGGAACAACUAUAUAAUUUUCUACACAACUCAACAACAACAACAACAACAACAACAAUAAUAAUAAUAAAAUUUAAACAACCCUAUAAAACAUUUUGUUUAUACAAACUACCCUACUAAACAAUAAAAAAAUAUAAUUGAAACAAAUCGUAUUCAUCGAGAUCUAAAGAAGUUUGACACAACGAAUAUAAUCUAUAUCUAUACAAUAUAUAAAGGGAAAACUUGAAUUUUGGUGUAGCCUUUUUUUAAAAAUCCCAAAAUACCCUUAAAAUGUUUUUUAUUUUUAAAAUAUUAACUUCUAUCUUAAUAACUUCAAUACUCUUAACUAUUAUUUUUUUCAUACAUUUAUCUUAAGUAAUGUUAUUUGUUAUUUUUCAGACGUCAACUAUUCAUAAACAAAUAAUAUAUGAUGAAUUGAUAAUAAUCUUCUACACAGGGACGGAUCCAGACAUGAUAUAUUGGUGUGGCUAAAAAAAAAUACAUUCGCAAACUUUAUAGUUGAAAAAAAAAAAUUACACUUGCAGAUUAGCCAAAGAAAUAGCUUUAUAUUUAGAAAGCACAGGAAAAAAUAACAGAACACCGAACAAAUAAAUCAUAUUUGUAGUUUGUAAAGUUGAGAGAACAAAGGAAAGUAAAAGAAUCAAACCAGUCUAUGAAUGGAUGCACCACGCGUCGAUGUCGGGCUGAGUGCAGUGGCGGAGGUAGACUAAAAUAUAUUAUUGAGAUCAAUUAAAAUUAAUAGUGUUCAAUAAAAUGUAUAAACCCUUAAUGUUGGUAAAUUUCAAUAACAUAUCAAAUAAUUUUAAAUUUCUAUAAAAUUAUACAUGAAUUAUCUAUAUGAUAUGAAUUUUAAAUUUAACGAUAAAUUUUAUAAAUUUAUACUCAUUAAAAUGUUAUCGGUAUAAUUUGAUUUCUCUAAUAUGUAUAUAUAUAAACAUAUAUUGAUCACUCCUUUGGAGAAAAAAAAAUACCAAAAACAAUUAUUCUGGAUUCCUUGUAGUUAAUUUGCAACAAAGCAAUUUCUUUAUAAAAAUAUCAAUUAAUAUCCAAAAACAGCAAAGCAAGAAUCGAACUCAAGACCCUUGGAUAAAAGGGCACUACAUUACCACUAAGCCAGACACAUUGUUGUGACUUUGUUAGCAGUUAUAAAUAUUUAUACAAUAUUAAAUAACAAAAAUAUGUAUAUAUAUAGAGUUUAAUUGCUGUGCACCGUCGGUGUAAUUUUUUUUUACACAUACAUCCAAUGACGCGUUGCCACAUCAUUUAAUGAAUGUGACACAUCAUGUGUUUUUAAUGACCAUACAUGAUGUGUCUGUAUAUUAUUGAACUCAUGUGCAAAAUAUCUUUACACCGACGGUGCAUAUAAAUUAAAUUCAUAUAUAUACCUAUUAAAAAUUGAAAAUUCUAGUGUGGCUAUAGCCACACUUAGUCCCUAUGUGGAUCCGUCCCUGCUUCUACAUAUGUUAGCAAAAUAGAAAAAGCGGAC